rnacentral:rRNA from 1 species
CCCAAUAACUUUAUUACCUGCCAGCUGAUUUUGAAAAGAUAAGCAGGGUUAGAUUUGAUUAGAACCUGGAUGGGAGACCACCAAGAAAUUCCACGGUUGUAGGCU